GAUGAACGCUGGCGGCGUGCCUAAUACAUGCAAGUCGAGCGAACAGAUAAGGAGCUUGCUCCUUUGACGUUAGCGGCGGACGGGUGAGUAACACGUGGGUAACCUACCUAUAAGACUGGGAUAACUUCGGGAAACCGGAGCUAAUACCGGAUAACAUUUGGAACCGCAUGGUUCUAAAGUGAAAGAUGGUUUUGCUAUCACUUAUAGAUGGACCCGCGCCGUAUUAGCUAGUUGGUAAGGUAACGGCUUACCAAGGCGCCGAUACGUAGCCGACCUGUGAGGGUGAUCGGCCACACUGGAACUGAGACACGGUCCAGACUCCUACGGGAGGCAGCGGUAGGGAAUCUUCCGCAAUGGGCGAAAGCCUGACGGAGCAACGCCGCGUUAGUGAUGAAGGGUUUCGGCUGGUAAAACUCUGUUAUUAGGGAAGAACAAAUGUGUAAGUAACUGUGCACGUCUUGACGGUACCUAAUCAGAAAGCCACGGCUAACUACGUG
rnacentral:rRNA from 1 species